UACGUAGGGCGCGAGCGUUGUCCGGAAUUACUGGGCGUAAAGGGCUCGUAGGCGGCCAACUAAGUCAAACGUGAAAUCCCUCGGCUUAACCGGGGAACUGCGUCUGAUACUGGAUGGCUUGAGAUUGGGAGAGGGAUGCGGAAUUCCAGGUGUAGCGGUGAAAUGCGUAGAUAUCUGGAGGAACACCGGUGGCGAAGGCGGCAUCCUGGACCAACACUGACGCUGAGGGAGCGAAAGCCAGGGGAGCAAACGGG
rnacentral:rRNA from 1 species